rnacentral:rRNA from 1 species
CCUACGGGUGGCAGCAGUGGGGAAUAUUGGACAAUGGGCGAAAGCCUGAUCCAGCCAUGCCGCGUGUGUGAAGAAGGCCUUCGGGUUGUAAAGCACUUUCAGUGGGGAAGAAAGCCUUGGGGCUAAUACCCUCGAGGAAGGACAUCACCCACAGAAGAAGCACCGGCUAACUCCGUGCCAGCAGCCGCGGUAAUACGGAGGGUGCGAGCGUUAAUCGGAAUUACUGGGCGUAAAGCGCGCGUAGGCGGUCUGAUAAGCCGGUUGUGAAAGCCCCGGGCUCAACCUGGGAACGGCAUCCGGAACUGUCAGGCUAGAGUGCAGGAGAGGAAGGUAGAAUUCCCGGUGUAGCGGUGAAAUGCGUAGAGAUCGGGAGGAAUACCAGUGGCGAAGGCGGCCUCCUGGACUGACACUGACGCUGAGGUGCGAAAGCGUGGGUAGCAAACAGGAUUAGAUACCCGAGUAGUC